rnacentral:rRNA from 1 species
CCUACGGGAGGCAGCAGUGAGGAAUAUUGGUCAAUGGCCGAGAGGCUGAACCAGCCAAGUCGCGUGAGGGAUGACGGCCCUACGGGUUGUAAACCUCUUUUGUCGGGGAGCAAGACCCGCCUCGUGCAGGCGGAGCGAGAGUACCCGAAGAAAAAGCAUCGGCUAACUCCGUGCCAGCAGCCGCGGUAAUACGGAGGAUGCGAGCGUUAUCCGGAUUUAUUGGGUUUAAAGGGUGCGUAGGCGGAAUGCCAAGUCAGCGGUAAAAUCGCGGGGCUCAACCUCGCUCCGCCGUUGAAACUGGCGUU